rnacentral:rRNA from 1 species
CAGUCGCCACGGGAAUACGUAGGCGGCAAGCGUUGUCCGGAAUUAUUGGGCGUAAAGCGCGCGCAGGCGGAUCGGUCAGUCUGUCUUAAAAGUUCGGGGCUUAACCCCGUGAUGGGAUGGAAACUGCCAAUCUAGAGUAUCGGAGAGGAAAGUGGAAUUCCUAGUGUAGCGGUGAAAUGCGUAGAUAUUAGGAAGAACACCAGUGGCGAAGGCGACUUUCUGGACGAAAACUGACGCUGAGGCGCGAAAGCCAGGGGAGCGAACGGGAUUAGAUACCCCUGUAGUCCCUGUCUCUUAUACA